UUUUGCUUUCUUGAAAUUCAUUUUUUCUUUUCCAAUACAUUCUUUUUAAAAAUAUUUCAUAGACUUUGAUGGAGACAUUGGAUACCAACUUGGUUUGCUUUUGGUUUGGUAUGUUGGUUUAAAUGUUGUAAACAUACGUAUCAAAAUCUUUAAAGGAUCCUAAAGAGAAGUCUUCAGAGACUUGUAGGAAAAUCUUUGAUGAUGAAUCAGCAUUGAGUGACAUCCCGGGAUCAUAUUGAUGUUGUGUAACUCCAUGGAGACUUUGCAAAGUCAUGGAGAUGUGUUGUGAAACAAGUUGGUUGUGUUGU